rnacentral:rRNA from 1 species
AGAUUGAACGCUAGCGGCAUGCUUAACACAUGCAAGUCGAACGGUAACAGGCCUAGCUUGCUAGGCGCUGACGAGUGACGGACGGGUGAGUAACGCGUAGGAAUCUACCUUGUAGUGGGGAAUAACUUGGGGAAACUCAAGCUAAUACCGCAUAAGACCUAAGGGAGAAAGUAUGGGACCGAAAGGCCAUACGCUAUAAGAUGAGCCUGCGUCGGAUUAGCUAGUUGGUAGGGUAAAGGCCUACCAAGGCGAGGAUCCGUAGCUGGUCUGAGAGGACGACCAGCCACACUGGGACUGAGACACGGCCCAGACUCCUACGGGAGGCAGCAGUGGGGGAAUAUUGCACAAUGGGCGGAAGCCUGAUGCAGCGACGCCGCGUGAGGGAUGACGGCCUUCGGGUUGUAAACCUCUUUCAGCAGGGACGAAGCGCAAGUGACGGUACCUGCAGAAGAAGCGCCGGCCACUACGUGCCAGCAGCCGC